CAACCUCCAUGAAACCCCCAAAUUAAAUCCCUCAGCCACCAAACUCUCACGCUUUAUCAUCCUCUACUUUAUAUUCCACAAUCCGCGACGACGAACCCCCCAGAUCUUCAUCCUCGAUCUUCAAGCUCCGCUGCAACUUAUCGUUUCCGGCCAGAAGCUUGCCAGAGACUGUCGCUUGCAACAGCGAGGUGUUCUUCCCUGCGAACCGGCAACACCCGAAGAUCUGAAUCUCAGCAGUUAGCAGCAUCCUCAUUCUCCUUCUCUUUAAUCUACGAAGGAUGAGCAGCCGUUCGAGCAGAACUCUCUAUGUUGGGAAUCUCCCUGGUGAUAUUCGAGAGAGUGAAAUAGAGGAUUUGUUUAUUAAGUAUGGACCUAUAACUACCAUUGACCUGAAGAUCCCGCCAAGGCCCCCGGGCUAUGCAUUUGUUGAGUUUGCAGAAGCUAGGGAUGCUGAAGAUGCAAUUCGUGGUCGCGAUGGCUAUGAUUUUGAUGGGCAUCGGCUACGGGUGGAGCUUGCACAUGGUGGUCGUGGGCGUUCAUCAAUAGAUCGUCACAGUAGUUAUGGUGGUGGUCGUGGACGUGGACCAUCCAGACGCUCCGAUUAUCGUGUGUUAGUUACAGGGUUACCUUCUUCAGCUUCGUGGCAAGACCUUAAGGAUCAUAUGCGCCAAGCAGGGGAUGUCUGUUUUUCCCAAGUCUUCCGUGAUGGUAGUGGGACAACAGGAAUUGUGGACUACACAAACUAUGAAGAUAUGAAAUAUGCAAUAAAAAAGCUUGAUGACUCCGAGUUUCGAAAUGCAUUUUCUCGAGCAUAUGUUCGGGUCAGGGAAUAUGAUUCGAGGCGAGACUACUCUAGGAGUCCUAGUCGUGGUCGAUCCUACUCAAAAGGUCGGAGUGAAAGCCGCAGCCGCAGCCGCAGUCGUGGUCGAAGUUAUAGUCGGAGCAGGAGCAAGAGCAAAUCCCCGAAAGCCAAAUCUUCGCGUCGCACACCAGCCAGGUCUAGAUCAAGGACUGCUUCGCCUCGUUCGCGGUCGCGUUCACGUAGUCUGUCUAGAUAUGGAUAUAUGCAGCGAACUGGGGAUUGGAUAUUAGUGUCUUGAUGGGAUGUGGUUCAGUUGCAUUCAACUCUUUUGGUUUUGGAGAUUGGGCACAAGGGAGACAAAUGGACUGCAAUAAUAGAGCUGGAUUUCAGUGAACUAAGUGCCAUUGGGACCCUGGAGUCACCAUCAAUGAACGGUAAAAACAAUUCAUUAUCUGCUCCAACAGCUGUCAAAGCUAUAAUAGGGUGUGCUACAUCAAUUGUAUGUGGAUUCAGUGGUACAGUUGGGGAGCUUGUUCCACUCCUGUCCCACUAGUGUCAAAAAAUCACCAUGAUUACUAAGUCUGCCUUUUUGAUAUGGGUACUGGAUGCUGGUUGGUUUACAUAUGGGCAUAUUUUAUUCUCGGAACUGCUAAAGCGAUUGUCUUUUUAUCUCUUUUGAAUAUGGUAUCUCUAACGUGGAAGAGGCAUCAAGGCACUUGGUGAGAGUUGUUAAAAGGAACGUGUGGAUUUUAAAAUUUGCAUUUGUUUCUGGAACUUUUGCAGAUCUCGAUCAAGAUCCAGAUCUCCCCUGCCUUCUCGUCAGAAAGGAGCCAGUAAAAGCCCCAAAAAGAGAAGUUUGAGCAGGAGCCCUAGUGGUAGCAGGAGCAGGAGCAAGAGUUUGUCCCGGUGAAAGUUGAUAUCCUACCCGCCAUUAAUUCGGAAAGUGCUCUAUGUGGGUAAAAAUUAGUGCUGAUGAAGGUACCCUGGGAAGUUCUGGAGGAGGUUUUACUUUUAGUGUUGGGGGACAUACUAUUGUGAGUAGUAGGUAGUAAGAUCCUUGAUUUGGAGUAGACUAGUCAUACUGUGGUUUGUGGUUAUGGAUGGACUUCAAGCAAUGUGUGUUUCAUUGCUUCAACUUCGAGUAGGUUCUUUCGUAAACAUGUUCAUGUGGAUUGUUUAUAUCGGUUCUCUUUCGUGGAUUUAUAUUUGCAUCGAUUCUUGUUCUAAUACUCAGUGACUACCAAUUUCGAGUCUUGUCAUCACACUUCAAAACUCUUUACUGUCCUGUUGGUUAUUUCU